UUACUGGGAUUAGAUACCCCACUAUGCUUAGCCCUAAACAUAAAAAAUUAUAAACAAAAUUAUUCGCCAGAGUACUACUAGCAAUAGCUUAAAACUCAAAGGACUUGGCGGUGCCUUAUAUCCCUCUAGAGGAGCCUGUUCUAUAAUCGAUAAACCCCGAUCUACCCUACCAAUCUUUGCUAAAUCAGCCUAUAUACCGCCAUCUUCAGCAAACCCUAAAAAGGAUGUAAAGUAAGCACAAGUAUUAACAUAAAAACGUUAGGUCAAGGUGUAGCUUAUAGAUUGGAAAGAAAUGGGCUACAUUCCCCGAAUCGGGGAAUCAUUACUACACGAAAACCUAUGUGAAAUCAAAAGUUAAAGGUGGAUUUAGCAGUAAAUUAAGAAUAGAGAGCUUAAUUGAAUGUGGCCAUAAGGCACGCACACACCGCCCGUCA
rnacentral:rRNA from 1 species